rnacentral:rRNA from 1 species
GAUGAACGCUGGCGGCGUGCCUAAUACAUGCAAGUCGAGCGAAUGGAUUAAGAGCUUGCUCUUAUGAAGUUAGCGGCGGACGGGUGAGUAACACGUGGGUAACCUGCCCAUAAGACUGGGAUAACUCCGGGAAACCGGGGCUAAUACCGGAUAACAUUUUGAACCGCAUGGGUCGAAAUUGAAAGGCGUCUUCGGCUGUCACUUAUGGAUGGACCCGGGUCGCAUUAGCUAGUUGGUGAGGUAACGGCCCACCAAGGCAACGAUGCGUAGCCGAACGGAGAGGGUGAUAGGCCACACUGGGACUGAGACACGGCCCAGACUCCUACGGGAGGAAGCAGUAGGGAAUUUUCCGCAAUGGACGAAAGUCUGACGGAGCAACGCCGCGUGAGUGAUGAAGGCUUUCGGGUCGUAAAACUCUGUUGUUAGGGAAGAACAAGUGCUAGUUGAAUAAGCUGGCACCUUGACGGUACCUAACCAGAAAGCCACGGCUAACUACGUGCCAGCCGCCGCCGUAA